AGCCCUGUAGUUGAAGAAAAACAACAAGUUGCAGCCUUGGUAGGUGGGUGGGUUUCCCCCCAGGGUUU
rnacentral:tRNA from 1 species